AUUUGUAAUAGAGUUGAGGAGUUAAAUGGGUGGCUUUUAGGUUUUUUUAUACUUUUUAGCCAUUAAAAAAAAUAAUCGUAGAGUUCACUGAGGCGCUAAAGGCACUACAACAAAAAAUGAUAUUUGUAAUGCAAAAAAAAAGCAUCGCAAAUACUAAAUUUUCAUCGUAAAUAAUUAUUUGCGAUGGUAAUUUCGUCGCUAAUAAUUAGUCGCUAAAAAUGGG
rnacentral:lncRNA from 1 species